CGCUUUCACUCCUACGGGAGGCAGCAGUGGGGAAUAUUGCACAAUGGGCGCAAGCCUGAUGCAGCCAUGCCGCGUGUAUGAAGAAGGCCUUCGGGUUGUAAAGUACUUUCAGCAGUGAGGAAGGCGGGUACGUUAAUAGCGUGCUCGUUUGACGUUUAGCUGCAGAAGAAGCACCGGCUAACUCCGUGCCAGCAGCCGCGGUAAUACGGAGGGUGCGAGCGUUAAUCGGAAUUACUGGGCGUAAAGCGCAUGCAGGUGGUUUGUUAAGUCAGAUGUGAAAGCCCGGGGCUCAACCUCGGAAUUGCAUUUGAAACUGGCAGACUAGAGUACUGUAGAGGGGGGUAGAAUUUCAGGUGUAGCGGUGAAAUGCGUAGAGAUCUGAAGGAAUACCGGUGGCGAAGGCGGCCCCCUGGACAGAUACUGACACUCAGAUGCGAAAGCGUGGGGAGCAAACAGGAUUAGAUACCCUGGUAG
rnacentral:rRNA from 1 species